AGUAACGUGUGGGCAACCUGCCCUGCACUGGGGAAUAAUCAUUGGGAAACGAUGACUAAUACCGCAUACGGUUCCUGGGAGGCAUCUUCCGGGAAAGAAAGGAUUUAUUCGGUGCAGGAUGGGCCCGCAUCUGAUUAGCUAGUUGGUGAGAUAACAGCCCACCAAGGCGACGAUCAGUAGCCGACCUGAGAGGGUGACCGGCCACAUUGGGACUGAGACACGGCCCAGACUCCUACGGGAGGCAGCAG
rnacentral:rRNA from 1 species